AUUGAACGCUGGCGGCAUGCCUUACACAUGCAAGUCGAACGGUAACAGGUCUUCGGACGCUGACGAGUGGCGAACGGGUGAGUAAUACAUCGGAACGUGCCCAGUCGUGGGGGAUAACUACUCGAAAGAGUAGCUAAUACCGCAUACGAUCUGAGGAUGAAAGCGGGGGACCUUCGGGCCUCGCGCGAUGGGCGCGGCCGAUGGCAGAUUAGGUAGUUGGUGGGAUAAAAGCUUACAAAGCCGACGAUCUGUAGCUGGUCUGAGAGGACGACCAGCCACACUGGGACUGAGACACGGCCCAGACUCCUACGGGAGGCAGCAGUGGGGAAUUUUGGACAAUGGGCGAAAGCCUGAUCCAGCAAUGCCGCGUGCAGGAUGAAGGCCUUCGGGUUGUAAACUGCUUUUGUACGGAACGAAAAAGCUCCUUCUAAUACAGGGGGCCCAUGACGGUACCGUAAGAAUAAGCACCGGCUAACUGCGUGCCAGCCGCCGCAGUAA
rnacentral:rRNA from 1 species